rnacentral:lncRNA from 1 species
GAAUAUCAGAGAUAAUUUGUUAAGAACAUAGAGUUGCGAGUAUAAAUAUAUUUUUUUCCUAUUCUUCAAUUCAAGAUCAGACCUAGUUUUCCAUUUUUUAGUUCCAAAUUUACUUUUUUUUUCUCAGUUUUUUGUUUUUUUUAUGGCAGCUCUUUUGUGUUUGGAUAUGGAUGUUGGAUUAUGGGCUGUUUUCAGCCCAGAUGCUAAAAAAUGGAAAUAAGAGUACAAUAUCAUAGUGUACAAAAAUAAUAACAUAGAGCAAUAAAAAGAAAAGAAAAAAAUAAUCUCUUUCUUCUUUCUUUUUUCUUGUUUAAACUCUUUGUUAUUUGAUUCGUCUCUUCAAUUUAAAUUCAUUUUGUUUGUGUUUUUAAGAGGAUUUUAAUUUUGAACUUUAAUAUCA